UACAGAGGUCUCGAGCGUUGUUCGGAAUUACUGGGCGUAAAGGGCUCGUAGGCGGCCAACUAAGUCGGACGUGAAAUCCCUCGGCUCAACCGGGGAACUGCGUCCGAUACUGGAUGGCUCGAGUUCGGGAGAGGGAUGCGGAAUUCCAGGUGUAGCGGUGAAAUGCGUAGAUAUCUGGAGGAACACCGGUGGCGAAGGCGGCAUCCUGGACCGACACUGACGCUGAGGAGCGAAAGCCAGGGGAGCGAACAGG
rnacentral:rRNA from 1 species